CUGGGCGUGGUGGCGCGCGCCUGUAAUCCCAGCUACUCAGGAGGUUGAGGCAGGAGAAUUGCCUGAACCCAGGAGGCGGAGAAUGUGGUGAGCUGAGAAAGCAUCGUUGUACUCCAGCCUAGGCAACAAGAGCAGAAACUUCAUCUCAAAAACAAACAAAA